rnacentral:rRNA from 1 species
GAUGAACGCUGGCGGCGUGCCUAAUACAUGCAAGUCGAGCGAACAGAUAAGGAGCUUGCUCCUUUGAAGUUAGCGGCGGACGGGUGAGUAACACGUGGGUAACCUACCUAUAAGACUGGGAUAACUUCGGGAAACCGGAGCUAAUACCGGAUAACAUUUAGAACCGCAUGGCUCUAAAGUGAAAGAUGGUUUUGCUAUCACUUAUAGAUGGACCCGCGCCGUAUUAGCUAGUUGGUAAGGUAACGGCUUACCAAGGCGACGAUACGUAGCCGACCUGAGAGGGUGAUCGGCCACACUGGAACUGAGACACGGUCCAGACUCCUACGGGAGGCAGCAGUAGGGAAUCUUCCGCAAUGGGCGAAAGCCUGACGGAGCAACGCCGCGUGAGUGAUGAAGGGUUUCGGCUCGUAAAACUCUGUUAUUAGGGAAGAACAAAUGUGUAAGUAACUGUGCACAUCUUGACGGUACCUAAUCAGAAAGCCACGGCUAACUACGUGCCAGCAGCCGCGGUAAUACGUAGGUGGCAAGCGUUAUCCGGAAUUAUUGGGCGUAAAGCGCGCGUAGGCGGUUUCAUAAGUCUGAUGUGAAAGCCCACGGCUCAACCGUGGAGGGUCAUUGGAAACUGGGAAACUUGAGUGCAGAAGAGGAAAGUGGAAUUCCAUGUGUAGCGGUGAAAUGCGCAGAGAUAUGGAGGAACACCAGUGGCGAAGGCGACUUUCUGGUCUGUAACUGACGCUGAUGUGCGAAAGCGUGGGGAUCAAACAGGAUUAGAUACCCUGGUAGUCCACGCCGUAAACGAUGAGUGCUAAGUGUUAGGGGGUUUCCGCCCCUUAGUGCUGCAGCUAACGCAUUAAGCACUCCGCCUGGGGAGUACGACCGCAAGGUUGAAACUCAAAGGAAUUGACGGGGACCCGCACAAGCGGUGGAGCAUGUGGUUUAAUUCGAAGCAACGCGAAGAACCUUACCAAAUCUUGACAUCCUUUGAAAACUCUAGAGAUAGAGCCUUCCCCUUCGGGGGACAAAGUGACAGGUGGUGCAUGGUUGUCGUCAGCUCGUGUCGUGAGAUGUUGGGUUAAGUCCCGCAACGAGCGCAACCCUUAAGCUUAGUUGCCAUCAUUAAGUUGGGCACUCUAGGUUGACUGCCGGUGACAAACCGGAGGAAGGUGGGGAUGACGUCAAAUCAUCAUGCCCCUUAUGAUUUGGGCUACACACGUGCUACAAUGGACAAUACAAAGGGCAGCUAAACCGCGAGGUCAUGCAAAUCCCAUAAAGUUGUUCUCAGUUCGGAUUGUAGUCUGCAACUCGACUACAUGAAGCUGGAAUCGCUAGUAAUCGUAGAUCAGCAUGCUACGGUGAAUACGUUCCCGGGUCU